rnacentral:pre_miRNA from 1 species
UCAACAUUCGGACCGUCGGUCUACCGAGCAAUGUCACCCGGUCGUUGGAAGAUCUUCCCUUAGUCGU